rnacentral:rRNA from 1 species
GUCUGUGGCCAUACCACCCUGAACAUACCUGAUCUCAUCUGAUCUCAGAAGCUAAACAGAGUCAGGCAUGGUUAGUACUUGGAUGAGAGAAGAGUUCACUAUGGCUGCUGUGU